UUAGGCCCUCUUAUUGGAAUGUUGCUCCAAGAACAAAGAUAUCAUGAGAAAGCCGUGCUUAGCAUGCCUAAAAUGAGACCUUCUUUUCUAUUCCAUUUUAACCAGGAAAAUUAAGCCCUAUAUUAAACUUUAGCUUAAUUAUAACCAGACUUCUUUCAGCUGGGAAAUGGAGAGCACUAAGAAGAGCAUCACCCACACACUUACAAUAAGAAAAAUUUAGACAAAAUGCAAAUUAACAGCCUUUCUUGAGCCCAAUAGAAAACUGAGGUUGCAGGACAAAAUCCUGUCUCAAAUAUCGAAAAAGUCGAGAAGAGGUUCUUUCCUCUGAAAGGAGAAAAAGGAUCCAAGUACUUGCUUACCUGCAACAGAUGCUCCAGAAUGUCAUAUAGAUUGGUAAGAGGAUCAAGCUAGAAAUGUUUUAAAAACUACUAAAAACUGAAUUUGUGCUAAUAAGAAAAUGUUUUUAGUUUUUCUAAAAGAUAACCGAGGAAAAACAAACCAUACUAUAUAUUGGGUGUGUGCAGCAUAAAAUGCAUAACAAUGAUGGCACAGGGAUGGGAGGGAGGAAUUUGCUAUAUGUAAUUACACUGCACGUGAAGUAGUAUAAUAUUCUUUGAAGGUAACAUCAGGUGAUUUUAAAAAGCAUGUUGCAAAUCCUAGAGUGGCCACAAAAAUAUUAAAAAUAAUAUAAACAAUAAGUCCACAAAUUAGAUAAAAUGAUAUCACUUAAAAAGAUGCUAAGUUAAAACCAGAGAGUGCAGAAAAAUAAAAGAAGCAAAAGCGAAUUGUAACAAAUAAAAAAUUACUAACAAUAUGUUCCGAUUGAACCCAACCAUAUAAAUAACCAUUUUAAAUGUGAAUGAUCUAAAUCUACUAAUUAAAAGAUAAUUUUAUGUUAGGUAAAGAAUAAUGAUCCAACUAUAUGUGGUCUAUGAGAAACAGUAGAAAUCUCAGCCAUUGAUAAGUUAGGGUAAAAAAAAUGGAGAAGGUAAACCAGGAUGGAGAAAGAUAAAUUAGGGUAGAGGAUGGAUAAAGAUAAAAGUCACUAACCAAAAGAGGGCUGUUUUAACUAUAUUAAUUUCAGAAAAUUACACUUCUGAACAAGAAAAUUUUUCAGAAAUAAAGAGAAAUAUUACAUAAUGCUAAAAGGGGUACAUUUUCUACAAAGAUUUCAGAAUCCUAACUAGAUAUGCAUCUAUCAAUAGAGUUUCAAAAUACAUACAUGAGGAAAAAUGGAUGGACCUGUAAAGAGAAGCAGAUAAAUCUGGAAUUAUAGUUAGAGGUAUCUGCAUGCCUCUCUCAGUAGCUGAUAGAACUCAGUAGGCAGAAAGUCAGUAAGGAAAUAGAUGACCUGAAAAACACUUAUCAACCAGUUGGAUCUAAGAGUUGUAGAAUAUUCCACCCAACAACAGCAGAAUAUAUUAUCUUCCCAUGAGUAACUGAAAUACAUCAAGAUAGACUGAGUUCUGGAACAUAAGACAAAUCUUAAUGAAUGUAAAAUGAUAGAAAUUAUAUACAAAGUUAUGUUCUUGGACUAUGACAACAUAAAGCUAGAAGUCAAUUUUAGAAAGUUAUCUGGGAAAUCUCCAAGUAUUUAUAAAGUAAAAAACGCAUUUCUAUAUAACUCAUGAGUCAUAGAGGAAGUCUCAAGGGAGAAUACUUUAAAUUAGCUGCCUUUUCUCACAAGCUUUUUCAUCAUAGCUUUAAAGGGUAGUCCUAGAUAGCAGUGGUGACACAUUGAGUGGUAAAGUUACACAUCUGUGCUAAAGUUUUCAACCUCUUUUCUAUAGAACCCCUGCCUAUCUUCUCAGGAUGGGUCUUCCACAAAAUAAUUUUUAGGUGGUAAUAAGUGUGGAUGCCAGGCUUUGACCACUCACUCACCUUCCUUCCCUCCUAAUUUUGGAUGAAGUACAAUUGUCAUAGUUGGCGCUUAGGACAGGUAUUGAUUUUUAAAUAUGCUUUCUUUUUUUUCUGUUAAGAUAUAAUGGUAUGUGUUUAAUUUGUGCUAGUGUUCUUAACUUCUUGAUUGUAUUUAUUUUGGAAUAAUUUGAGAGAAGGAGGUUCUGUCAUUUAGUCUUUCUCUAUACUUUUAAUAAGAAUGUUUUCCCAAGGAUUUGCAGUUCUUUAUUUUUAAAUUAUGCCAUCUGUUGUUUAUGGUGAGAAGCUUUUUGUUUAACGGAAACUUUAUAGCAUUUUGUAACAAGAUUUCAAUUUAAUUAACUUGAUUAAUGACUUAGGGCAAAAUUUGAAAAUAAGCUGAAAAAUGUAAAAGUAGCUUGUUUGAGAAAAGAAUUUGGUAUGAAAUAAAAAGUCAUCUUCACAGAUGCAACUGAUUUCUAAGCCCGUUAUGUAAUUCCACUGGUCUAAAUCACAGAAAACAUUUAUAGGACAUACUCUACCCUGCCUCUCCUGUUCAGAAAGAAGAUGGAUUUUCAAUAGUACUGUGAUAAGAGUGACAUCUGAUAUUAACAGCAAUUUCUUAAUUUGGUCCAUUAGAUUUUCCUGUUAUCAUAUUUCAUCUUAUUUCUUUGAAACUUUUUAAAUAAUGUUUUAUCUUGAAAGGAGCCUUUGAAGAGAUAGCUUUUGAUAUACAUUUUAGAGGAUAUUCUUGACGCAUGAUAU
rnacentral:lncRNA from 1 species